rnacentral:snRNA from 1 species
AGCUUUGCGCAGUGGCAGUAUCAUAGCCAAUGAAGUUUAUCUGAGGCGCAAUUAUUGCUAAUUAAAACUGAAAAAGCUAGGGUGCCUGGGUGGCUCAGACGGUUGAGCUUCUGAGUCUUGAUUUCAC